GGGGGCUUCGGCCCCCCGGAGAGUGGCGCACGGGUGAGUAACACGUGGGUAAUCUGCCUUUGGGUGGGGAAUAACAGCCCGAAAGGGUUGCUAAUACCGCAUAACGCAGCGGCACCGCAUGGUGACAGUUGUUAAAGCGGGGGAUCGCAAGACCUCGCGCCUGAAGAGGAGCCCGCGCCCGAUUAGCUAGUUGGCGGGGUAAGAGCCCACCAAGGCUUCGAUAGGUAGCCGGCCUGAGAGGGCGGUCGGCCACACUGGCACUGAGAUACGGGCCAGACUCCUACGGGAGGCAGCAGUGGGGAAUUUUGGGCAAUGGGCGAAAGCCUGACCCAGCAACGCCGCGUGAAGGACGAAAUCCCUCUGGGAUGUAAACUUCGAAAGUCGGGAAAGAAAUCUCGCGGGCCAAUACCCCGCGGGGAUGACGGUACCCGACGUAAGCCCCGGCUAACUACGUGCCAGCAGCCGCGGUAAUACGUAGGGGGCAAGCGUUGUUCGGAAUUACUGGGCGUAAAGGGCGCGUAGGCGGCACGGCAAGUCGGGAGUGAAAGCCCGGGGCUCAACCCCGGAACGGCUCUCGAAACUGCCGAGCUAGAGUGCGGAAGGGGCAACCGGAAUUCCCAGUGUAGCGGUGAAAUGCGUAGAUAUUGGGAAGAACACCUGAGGCGAAGGCGGGUUGCUGGGCCGACACUGACGCUGAGGCGCGAAAGCCAGGGGAGCAAACGGGAUUAGAUACCCCGGUAGUCCUGGCCCUAAACGAUGGAUACUUGGUGUGUGGGGUUCUCUGAG
rnacentral:rRNA from 1 species